GGGGAUGCAGUUCAGUGGCACAGCGCCUGCCUGGCAAGCGUGAGACCCUGAGUCCGAUUCCCAGUACCCCCA
rnacentral:tRNA from 1 species